CCUACGGGGGGCUGCAGUGGGGAAUCUUCCGCAAUGGGCGAAAGCCUGACGGAGCAACGCCGCGUGAGUGAAGAAGUAAUUCGUUAUGUAAAGCUCUAUCAGUAGGGAAGAAAAUGACGGUACCUGAGUAAGAAGCACCGGCUAACUACGUGCCAGCAGCCGCGGUAAUACGUAGGGGGCAAGCGUUAUCCGGAUUUACUGGGUGUAAAGGGAGCGUAGACGGCAGAGCAAGUCUGGUGUGAAAGGCGGGGGCUCAACCCCCGGACUGCUCUGGAAACUGUACGGCUGGAGUGCAGGAGAGGUAAGUGGAAUUCCUGGUGUAGCGGUAAAAUGCGUAGAUAUUAAGAGGAAUACUCGUGGCGAAGGCGGCUUGCUGGACUAUAACUGACGUUGAGGCGCGAAAGCGUGGGGAGCAAACAGGAUUAGAUACCCCUGUAGUC
rnacentral:rRNA from 1 species